rnacentral:rRNA from 1 species
AGCUCCAAUAGCGUAUACUAAAGUUGUUGCAGUUAAAAAGCUCGUAGUUGGAUUUCUGCGGGGGCGGGGCGGCCGAUCGCCACUGGCGAGCCGAGCUAGCACUUCCCCCGCAUCCUGCCGCGAACCGUGCUACCAUUAGCUUGGUGGCGCCGGGGAUCGGCUCGUUUACUUUGAGAAAAAUAGAGUGUUCAAAGCAGGCCACACGCCUUGAAUAAGUUAGCAUGGAAUAUGAUA